UACCAGCACCCCGAGUGGUCGGGACGUUUAUUGGGCCUAAAGCAUCCGUAGCCGGUUCUGCAAGUCUUCCGUUAAAUCCACCUGCUUAACAGAUGGGCCGCGGAAGAUACUAUAGAGCUAGGAGGCGGGAGAGGCAAGCGGGUACUCGAUGGGUAGGGGUAAAAUCCGUUGAUCCAUUGAAGACCACCAGUGGCGAAGGCGGCUGCCAGAACGCGCUCGACGGUGAGGGAUGAAAGCUGGGGGAGC
rnacentral:rRNA from 1 species